CGUUAACAAGGAAACAGUUCCAACUGAAUUGCCAAGAUUUUUUACAAAGUUUCAACCAGCAAGACUGUCUGAAUCCUGGUUGAACUGAUCAACAUAUCCAGCUCCCCUUGUCCAAUUGCAGUACAUAAUCAAAAUCUGCUGAAUUUCUCUUAUGGGUUCCUGCCACCAAUUUUGAACCAUAUUGCCUUUUGACAGUUUGAAUUGAGAUCUCUCGAAGCUUCCCGUCAGUGGGGUUCAACUUUUGCCACCACAACACACACCUUGAAGGAUGCAGAAGUUGAUGCCUCCAGGAAGGAAACAAGUACUCGAGGGCCAGGCAGAGGCUAUAUCCCUAAGUCAGCCUAAUUAAAAAUUUUUGUCAACCAACAUAUCCAAAUCACAAGCCACUGGCCAUUUGGUCCAGUGGUCAUCACCAUUAAAGGUGAUGCUGGAGGUCAGGGGUUCAAUCCUUGCCUCCCACAAAUUUGACACAAUUUGUGGCGGUCUUAAUUGACCUUCAUCGAUGGAGACUGUACUCACAUCGAACCCCCUCCCCUUCCCCUUAGACUAGGCUAGAUUAGGUUAUAGGACAUCUAUCAUUGCGACAAAAAAAAAACAUAUCCAAAUCACAAGUAACUUUAUACAAAUUAUAAUGCUGAACUAAAUUUCAAUGAUCUAAAGAUGACAGUUUUGUAAAAAUCAGCUGUAAUGCUUAAACUUAUAGCACCGUCAAACUACUUCACAGUAUCACAAAAAUAUAGAGAAGGAAAAUUAAAAGCACAUACAAUGCAAACUAGUAAUGUGCUUAGCUGGAGUGAUUACCAAGUAAACUGCAUAUUUCAGAUCAUACUCUGGUUCCUAGUUAGCUCUUCUUCUUGAACAGGCAUUGGAGCAAAUCUGAUUCCAGCCAACUCAAACUCUUUCAAUUUCAGGCAGUCAUCAAGAGCAUCUGCAGAUGUGCAAAUGUAUUGAAAUAAAAUUGAGGAACAUGAAAUAAAAUUUGUGAGGUCAUGUGAAACACUGAAAAAACUGGAAGAUGCCAUGUAAAAUGUUACAGUGUAUUUUGGCUCACAGAGGAUUAAAUGAAACAAAAACCAAAAAAAAAAUUAAAUAAAAUUGUGAGGUCAUAAUAAAUUGAUGAAAUUUCUGAGGGGAAGUCCAACUGAAUUAUCGAGUUUGAACAACUUAUAUGACCUAAUAAUAUCAGUUAAGACUAUUUGAUUAAUCAUGAAAGUAUCAAAGAAAAUUCAUAAUGAACUACAUAAUGCAUAAACAAAAGAUAAUAACAAAAAAAAAAAAAAUUUAGUCUCAAAUAUAUGUGUGUGUGUGUGUAUAUAUAUAUAUAUAGUGGAUUCACGUUUUUUUCUCAAUUGAUUUUUCUCCAUUCGAAGAUAAAACCAUAUAAAAGUUUCUUGGAAAACCAAAAUAGUAAUUAAUUUUUCACUUAAAAAAAUUAUUUGUUAGGAAAAUUUUUUUGAGCUCUAUUAUUUGUUAAAAAAUAAUUAGUAGGAAUAUAAUACUUGAAGUCUUUGAACAAUUUUAAAAACUUAAGUUUAAAAACACCAAUUUGGACCAAUUAUAUAUAUAUAUAUAUGUAUAUAUAUUGUGGAUUCACAUUUUUUUCCUCAAUUGGUUUUUCUCUGCUGGAAGAUAAAACCAUAUAAAAGUUUCUUGGACAGCCAAAAUAGUAAUUAAUUUUUCACUUAAAAAAUUAUUUGUUAGAAAAUUUAUUUUUGACCUCUUUUAUUUGUUAGAAAAAUAACUGCUAGGACUAGUCUUGAACAAUUUAAGAAACUUAGGGUUAAAAACACCAAUUUGGACCAAUUUGGGCCUCCCCACUCGUAAUAUACAUAAUCCUAUGGCAGCAUAAAAGUUUCUUCCGUUUUUAAUAUUGCCGUGGUCUUUCCGCCCGCCACCGCCAGGUUUUUAUUUUUAUUUUUAAUCAGUUCUUCACCUCCCGCCUCUUUUCAUGGGCUUAUUUAUUCUACACAGUCUUAGAUAUUGAUCGAAUUUUCUGUUCUUUUCUAUCCGUGGAAUUAUCAUGAAGAAAGCCUAUUAAUUACUGAAUUCAGCUGAAUGCUUGCCACAACUCAGGUACAAUUAUAAAUUUGGAUACCUGUGGAAGUCUGGGAAUCUUGUUUAAUUUUUCUUUUCCCCUUUUUUUCCUGGUUGUAGCGUGGAGGGGUAUAAGGUGAACGCAUGAGUGAGAAUUGUGGACUAGCUAUUGAAUGAAGUUUGCCUUUUGAUAUCUUUGAGUAGUCCCUCUAUUAUGUACUGUGUUUUGUCUUAAUUUGGGUGUUUGGGGGGGGGGGGGGUAAUUUUUUUUUUUCAUUUUUUGGCUGUUCAGCAGUUUGUUACUGAGGUUUGUGCUCUCUGUUUAUGAUGUGUUCUCUUAUCAAAUAAAGUUACAUUUGUGCUCAAAAUAAAAGAAAAAAGUUGAUGAUUAAAUAGAAAUUGAAUCGGCGCUGUCAAAGUUUGAUUUUUGUGUUAAUAAUUUUGGUUUUGUUCCAGUUUAUGCACUCCACUUGCACUUCAGAUUGGAAAGAAACUAAACUAAUAAUGAGAUUGAAGAGAUGGGUAGUUGACGGUUAUGAAAUUAUUGAAGAAUUUGCUACAAAUAAUUAGGCGUAUUCCAGUGAAGUAUGAGUUGUUUUUUAAGUUAAUAUGAGGUCUUAAUUUACAUGAUUCACAAGGGCUUUAUCAAGGUUUACUAAAAACCCAUUUAGGAUAGCUGGUCAUUUUUUGGACUAAUUGAGAAGUGAGGAUGUUGGCAAAGAAUGUUUACUUUUAUAACAUUUGUCGGUGGAAGAGUAGUGCUGAAUUGUUACUGGCAACACGUAUGGAAGAAAUCAUUCAUUCGGUAGAGUGCAGAUUGAUUCAAGUCUAUUUGCAUUUGAUUUAUAGUGGACAAACCUUUCUUUGCUUGCCCAGCUGCACCUUUUUAUGCACUUUGUUUUCAAGUUUAGGGUUUUUGGAUGUUUUAUCCAUAUUCAAUUAGGUUCCUUUAAUAAUGCAAAGCAAUAAGCGAUGCUUGUUUAUUUAAGUGCUAACACUUUAAACGAAGUCUUGAGUAGUGUUUGUUGUUGGCUGGAAGCACUGCUUGAGGUUGUCUUAACCUGGUCUUGUGAGUCAUUUAGUUUCACCACCAGGACCAGAGAGAUCCACCAAUUAUGUUGGCAGUUGGUCUCAGGAAAGGGUGGUCAGAAGGCCCCUAGUGCAGUGUCUUAGAGCAGCUUAGGAUGAUAAAGUCAAUAGAUGCUGCUUGUGUCUGAAUUCAAACAGGAAAUUAGAACUAAGCAAGGGCAUAAAUAAAAUGCAGAGAGUGUAAUAGGGGCGAUGGAAGAAGUUAUGGUAGUUGAUUCUCUUACUUGUUGAUCAUCAAAAUAAUCAAAGCCAGUUUAUAAGGCAGACCAUAGGAGCCCUAAAUAUUUGAUCUCUUUCUCAUUCUUCUAAACCAUGACGUGUGUUGUCAAUGCCGUAGAAUGUUAGAUUCAUGGAGAAAAAUGCUUAGUCGUAAGAAGUACGUGCUUGUUCUAGGUGAAUUAAACUUACAUCUCAAUUGUUCUAAAAUCAAUGCAAGCUAAAUACUGAAGAAGAUUAUAGGAAUUAUAGUGGAAAAUGAGGGGAUCAGAAGUGUGUGUAUUUUUAUGCAUGUAAAUUUGCAAGCUUUGACUUAAUCUGAUCUACAUUUAGUUACUUUUGGCUUGUUAUCACUCAGAAAUCAUAAAGAAGCUUAGGGUUUUAUGUGCCAAUAGUAGAAACUCUGAGACCACAAUAAGAUGAGCUUAAAACUGAGAAACGGCAUAAAUUUUUUUAAUUGUAUGACAUUCUUCUCUUUGAAAGGAAAUAAAUGAAAAGGAAUAGAACUUCUUUAAUACUUUUCUAUGCUGUUAGUUGUCACCAAAUACUUUUCAUGCCAGUAAGUCAUGAUCUGGUUAAUGAGAUUGGUGGUGUUCUGUUAUCAAGCCUUUAUUUUUGGUUAUAUUAUUGUGUAACAUUUUCCAAUUACAUGGCUUUAUUGAUGGGUGUUCCUUCCCUUGAAUCUUUUGAUGUUGAGAUUACAAUAUGGACUAUCCUCACUGGACGUAAACUGGAAAACUGAAGUUAAAGUCUUUAGUGAAACGGGACCUUUUAAUCUAUUGAGCAUGUCUAUGGCCUUGAAAUGUGUAAAGGUCAAAUUUUAAGUCUAGACUGUGAACAUGUUUCCCUACUAGUCAUUUUAUUACAAGGAGCAAGAUUAAUAUUGCCAUCACAUAACAUCAAAUCAUAGAUGAAGAAUUUGAGAUCAUUGCAAAUGCAGGUUAAAUGGUUCCUGCUCAAUGUCAAUUUUCAAUAUACAAUUUUGCAAAUAUGUACAUUAAAAUGGUUUCUCACAAUGCAAGGAUUCCGAUGUGUCUUAAUUCCCAUUCUAGAUUACUCUCGUUAAGUGUAAUCUAUCUCAUUUUUCAUAUUUUAACCAUGAAUUCUAAUGGACUAAAAGACAAUGUUAGUAAUUUAGUGCUAGAAAUUUUCUAACGCCAUCUGCCUAUGUAUGCAUUAGCGAGGUUAAAUGUAAGUGACAUAUGCAAAGUUAAAACUUAAUUUGCAAAGUUAAAACUUAAUUUCAAAUUUCAUAAAUCAGAGUUGUUGUAACCAUAAUUGGUUUUUACUUACAAAGGACACAUUCAUUAGAGUUGUUUUAACCAUAAUUGAUUAAGCAGCAGUUUGAUGAAUAUGUGCUUCUUGUAUCUUUUUCUCAUUCUGCUCUGUAGUUCCACAUGGUUCUAAUUUUCUCUUGGGUUAAAAAAAAAAGCCCCUGUGGUAAACGUAAUAUACAGAAAAGCCCCUCUUGGUUUCAAAACGCACAAUACGAGACCUCAUACUUUGAAUUAAAUUGUAAAGGUGACGGAAUCCGUUAAAUUUAAUGGAAAUGGACAAAAUGACAAAAAUGCCUUGAUAUAAUUAAGCAAAAGACAGCUUAACAAAUUCAUUUAUUUUAUUCUCUAGAGAGAUUAAAUUAAGGGUUAAGGGGUAGAACAGGUAUAUUUGUUAAAAUAUAGGUAUAAAAUUUUUUUAAAGUUCCAAUAAGUCAUUUCCGUUAAACUUAACGGAUUUCAUCACUUUUAUAAUUUAGUUCAAAACAUUGGGUGUCAUGUUGUACGUUUUGAAACCACGGGGGAUUUUUCUGUAUAUCAACUUUACCACAAGGGGCGCUUUUUUUUUUACCCUUUUCUCUUUGGGUUUGUAUUUUCUGAUUCUAGUUUUCCUUUUGUGUUUGCUGUAAAAGAAAAAUAAAUGAAGCGCUCAAACAAACCAGUAAGGACUAAACUGUUAGAUGAGCAAAGAUUUAAGGGGUUAAACUGUUCGAAAACCCAAAAUUAAUAAGACCCCCUUCUUUCUUUCUUGUGUCUUCCAUCAGCCGCAGUCUACAGCAGGCUACCAAGUCCCCCAAAGCCCAUCAUCAAUCUCUCCUUUUUCUCUCCCCAACUGUUUCCCCUAUCCAUCAUCGAAAAAAGUUGAAUGGGUUCUAUUUGAUCGUCUUAAAUUUAGGAGAUAAUGGUAGGAAAAUUUGUCAGUUCAAUGAUCCAAUGUUGCGCUGGCAAUAAAGAUACUCUUGGCUGCUUAUUGCUUUAUACUAGUAUUUUUUUAACAGAUAACUGUUUUUCAAGGAAUUGAAUAACCACUGACUCUCGGAAAAGGCAUAGGUAUGCCCCCAUUUCGCAGCCAUAAUCUGCUACAUGACGAAAUAAAGAUUCUUUUUUAUAGACAAAGUAUUUGUAGAAAUGUCUGUGAGGUAUUUCUGAGAUGAACCUUUAAUGUGGGAAUUAGAUUGGCAUGUGUUUUGACUAGGAGUAUUUAGCUUUUAACAUUUUCAGCUAAUGGUUAUGCGAUAGAACUUAGGAGAUCAAUACAGUUGCUGGGAGUAGAUUUUCUUUUCUUUUGAAGAAUAUGAAACAUGCUUUUUACUUGGAUGUGAGCUAUUAACUUUUAUCAGUGGGAAUGCUAAACAAGAAAAAUUCUUCAUGGAAAUUAUGAUAGUCUCUAAUUUCAACAUGAAACUAACUUACUGGUUGACAUCAUAAGGGGUGUAUUACUGCCUCGUUGCAGUUGCACGCUUUAUUGAAACAUUGCUGCAAAGAAGUGGAAAAGGUGAUAUUAAGCAGACUGAGAUUUGUGACUAUUAUACUAAUAUGUCUUGAUUUUCUACUUGCUAGAAUACCACAAUCAAUAUGAUUCUACUAGCAAGUACUGUUUCUGGUUCAAUCCCAGUAAACCAACUUAUUAAUUCAUCAAAACAGAGGCCAAGCAGUCGUUCUUGUGUUGUAAAUUCAGCAGUUGCGAUGACAAAUGAAGUUAAAAGAAGGUGCAUUCACUUUUGAACACUGAGACUGUUUGAACACGCAUUUGAGUUUUUCAAACUUUCAUUCUUUGAAUUUGUAUUGCGUGGCAGUUGUGAGUUUUAUGACAUGCAUAAAGAACUCAUUCCGUAUGCUGAGGCAUGGUCUUGGCAGAAGGACAUAGUUAAAAAGAGGAAGGAGUUGAUCGAAAGGGAAAAAGACUGUUCAGACACACUGAUCAUUUUGCAGCACCAUCCUGUUUAUACAUUGGGUACUCGUAGUUCUGAGGCUUACUUGAAUUUUAGCAUGAAAAAUGCGCCCAUUAAUGUAUAUCGAACCGAACGGGGAGGCGAAGUUACAUACCAUGGACCUGGACAGGUAGAUUCUACUUUUCAGGAGAAUUUUGUACCUAAUAUCUUAGGGUGUUAUUUUUAUAGCUCAGGAAUAUUGAUAUUCGGACCUGAACCUGGGUUGACUAACUAGUGUUUUGUGCGAGCCACUCAGAUAUGUGUUUCUCAUGAUAAUGGUAGUCAUGUUAUUAGAACUUUUGUGGGAUCAAUUUGAAGGGAAAGCCAUUUGUUUAAACCUGACUGCAUUCAGGCUGGGUAUAUUUGCUUCAUCCAGCAUUUGGGAAGUUGGGUUUGUUCCACCAUCCCAAAGUCUAGAAUCAAAUAUGUAAUCUUAUAAAUAAGUAGUCUUAUAAGUUGUUCCAGCAGAUUCAGUAGCAUGUAUCCUGUAUCAUGCUCAAGGCUGUCAAUUAAAUAAAUGUGUUUCUUUGAGCAUCAAAACCUUUUUAAUUCUGACAUUUUACAUUUUUGUUUUGUAGCUAGUGAUGUACCCAAUAAUCAAUCUCCGAUAUCACAAAAUGGAUCUUCAUUGGUACCUCAGGGCACUUGAAGAAGUUGUUAUUCGUGUUCUUUCCUCAACAUUUUUCAUUAAAGCUUCACGUAUUGAGGGCCUAACUGGUGUUUGGGUUGGUAGGUUGGCAAUCCUUUGACUAAUAUUCUAUUGCCUUUGCCAUACUUACACAAGCUUAACGGUUGUGAAAUGAGUGAAGGUUAUUCAAUUUGUAAUUUGGAAGGAUUAGGUUUGGCCUCUAAUAACUGUUUGUAUAGAAUUCCUUUCUAUGUGAAUAAGUAACCAUGUAGCUGCUGAAAAUGCCUUGAUGUCUUCCUAUCAUUAAAGAGGAUUUGAUUAUUGUUCAUUGAACUAGUUGGCAGUGAAAUCCAAGGCAAGAAUCUUGAAUGUAGAUUCCAUAAUAGAAUGAGUUCUGUGAACAUUUUGCAAGUAGACUUUUCAUUGAAAAAUUGGCAGACUAAAAAUAUGGUCAGUGCUAUCAUUUUCAUCGGUUGUCAUUAAGGAUAGAAAGAACUUACACUUUUUUAUGUCCUUGGAUUAAAUUUGUAGUCUACUAUCAUGGAUUAAAUUUGUAGUCUACUAUCAUGUUUUCACUUCUUAAGGCACUUUGACAGUCCAUUUGUUUUUAGCAACACUUGAAUCUCAUUCCAUAUGUAUCAUCUGAAAAUUGUGAGUUUUCAGCACAUAUGCAUAAAGUUUUACAGAUAGAUUGUUCUUGUCUUUUGUCCUUGACAUCUUUUCCCUUCCUCUGAUGUGCUUUAGGAAUUAUCCUUCUGGAAAAGCUGGAUUGAAUGGAUCCAUGCGUGAUGGUUUUAUAGUAAAAUUAAUUUGCUUGUAAAAUUAAUUUGCUAUUGACUUCUUAAUAGCAAUGUCAUAUUUAGCAUUUAAUUUAAGAUUGCUGGUGAAAUAGACAGAGACUAACACCUGUGACCCCUUCAGGAGACCAAAAACUGGCAGCUAUUGGUAUAAAAGUGUCACAGUGGAUAGCAUACCAUGGAUUAGCAUUGAAUGUUGCCACAGAUCUGACAGCAUUUGGUCAAAUUGUCCCUUGCGGUAUUCAAGAUCGUCAAGUUGGAAGCAUAAAGGGUCUGUUGCAGGAACAUGUUUCAUCUAAUCGACGUGGAGCUGAAAGCAAGUAUGACAUUGAUGAUAACCAGCUGAUUGAUAUUACUCACAAAUCUCUGGUUCAAGAGUUUUGCAAAAUUUUUCAAGUUCACCUCCGUCAUAAGCCUAUCCCAGCAGGAAUUGCCUGGGAAAGGCCUGAGGUUUUACAUUCUAUAACUGAAAAAGGAGACUAAAAGAACAUGAAGGAUGCACCAGGUGCUUUCCAUUUUCCUGUUAAGUAUGUCUUACACUCCAUUUAUGCAGAAAAUUUCAAGACUCGGCUUAGUUUUACAGUGUCAGGAUUCUUGGAUAUUCAAAUUCUCUUUAUAGCAAGUUUGUGCAAAUCUUUAUGGUCUAUUGAGAAACUUUCAGAGCAUUUUAUUCUUUCAUUUACAGAGAGAUAGGAGUCUAAUAAAUGGGAUGAUGAAUCUUUUCUGCAAAUAGCCAUUGGAGCACAAAAUUGCGUGACAGAAUUUACAUGAUUCUCAAGGAUUGUAAUGGCAAUACAUUUGCACAUCUGCAGAUGCUCUUGAUGACUGCCUGAAAUUGAAAGAGUUUGAGUUGGCUGGAAUCAGAUUUGCUCCAAUGCCUGUUCAAGAAGAAGAGCUAACUAGGAACCAGAGUAUGAUCUAAAAUAUGCGGUUUACGUGGUAAUUACUCCAGCUAAGCACAUUACUAGUUUGCAUUGUAUGUGCUUUUAAUUUUCCUUCUCUAUAUUUUUGUGAUACUGUGAAGUAGUUUGAGGGUGCUAUAUGUUUAAGCAUUACUAGGUUACAGCUGAUUUUUACAAAACUGCCAUCUUUAGAUCAUCUUGCUGAUAGCACAUUGAAAUUUAGUUCAGCAUUAUAAUUUGUAUAAAGUUACUUGUGAUUUGGAUCUGUUGAUUGACAAAAAUUUUUAAUUAGGCUGACUUAGGGAUAUAGCCUCUGCCUGGCCCUCGAGCACUUGUUUCCUGGAGGCAUCAACUUCUGUAUCCUUCAAGGCGUGUUGUGGUGGCAAAAGUUGAACCCCACUGACGGGAAGCUUUGGGAGAUCUCAAUUCAAACUGUCAAAAAGCAAUAUGGCUCAAAAUUGGUGGCAGGAACCCAUAAGAG
rnacentral:lncRNA from 1 species